CCUUUAAGAGGUUGGGUAGUUAAUGCGGGGAGAGAGUGCACUGCAAUAGCGCGCAGAGUGAAUGUGCAUGAAGCACGGACAAAACGCAGAGCGUCUGGGAGGUUGAAUUUGAAAUACUGUGGAAGAGAAGUCGAAGACUUAUUGCUUUCCGUGACUUUUCUGAGACAUUCUGACUGGUUUUGUUCCCUUGGACUGUUGUUCGGUGAUACAUUUGGACCUGAAUCAUCUGAGUGGAGUCCUCCGGAACAAAUUCUCUUCAUCUCGUCACAUUCUAUCAACUCUUCUGCUCUUCAUCAUCUCGUCGCACUCGGUCAACUCAUCAGUUUUUUUCCUUCCGUACUUGAUUAACUGAAUGGUAUUCCCGGUGAAGUGGUAGGACUGAGAUAUUGUUUUUUCCACACAUUACAUGGGACUGAGAUUUUUUUUUCCACACAUUA